rnacentral:SRP_RNA from 1 species
GCUGAGCUCAGUAGCGUGAGCUUGUAACUUAAGUGGGAGCAAUAAGAUGAUUGGGACAAAUCAAAUCUUCAAUCCUUGACAUAUAUAGAGGGUUCAUUUGGGAUUACGCGAUGCUGGUAUAGUACAAAGUAGUGCUAAUAAUACUUUGACAUAGCGGUGUGAGUAGAUGGGGUAACUCUCCCAUCGUUGGCUGGCUUAACAGAGCAGCACUCUAUCGCAUAAUCACAAAUCCCCGCUAGCUAGGUCAAGCUGUUAUUUAUCUGGACCAUCAUCUUU